GAAAAAAAAACCUGCUUUAUUCCUGGCUCACUUGUUCACCUUUAGUUUGUCUUGUUUGAGGGUGAAGCAGAUUUGUCUACACAAGCGACACGACCACCAGCAACAGCAGCAAAGGGGAAAGAGAUGAGACCGGACAGAGACCCUUUAAAUAGUCCUUUAAAAAGCUACGCGUAAAGCCGGAAACCGCAAGAGGUCGCGCUAAGGUUUAAAUGCAAAGUACGUUUGACUGCAAAAAGUGAAAUAACUGCUUAAAAAGAGAGAGAUUGUUGGUCUUACCAGAAGCUGUGAAAUGACAUCAGCAGCUCCUCCGAGGUAAGUCUCCACCAGGAAGAAGAGCAACACACAGCGGCAACAAGCGCAACCAACUGGCCGGCAACUCUUUUCCCGUUUCCUGCUUUGGCAUACUGAACUCUUCCUCCUGUCCAAGGCAGAGCUUCAAGUCUCCUGGUGGUAUGGGUGAACCUCCAUCUCCUAUGUUGAACGUGAUAUUAACAUUGACAUGCGGACCGGCGCUCACAGGGCUGAAGGUGCAUGAAUGGACACUGGACCCUGAUGGGGAAUGCUGAGGGUGCAGGGCUCCAAUGGACUCCUGGCUGCUGUGUGAAGAGGCAGUGUCGUCGCCGGAGUCGUGGCUGGAACUGAUCUCGGUACUCUGCAGCAGGCAGUGUUGUUCCCUCGGCGAGAUAUCCACGAAGGAAGUACGCGCAAUUUGGACCUGCGACAGGUGGAGGGAAUCAGCAUCACAUUCUUUCAUGUCCACAAUAAACCACAAAAUGAUGAUGAUGAUGACUCACUUCAUCGCAACUCUCAUUGUGUCCAUUGGUGAUGUCUUUGGUAUUAAAGUGUGCAGUGCCUAACAGUGACAGCAGAUCACA